UCAAAUGACAUUUAAAAGAUGAUUGAACAAUAUGCAAAUGAAGGUGACUUCUAAAGAAGUGAGUGAGUGUCAGUGAGAGACAGAAGAGCUCCAUCAGCUCAGCUUCAACAUCAACCAUGUUCUCUGGAGCUCUGAUACUGCUGCUGGCAGCUGGAUCCUGUGUGAACAGUAUUGAUCUCAUCCAGCCAGACUCAAUGGUUGUGCAGCCUGGACAGUCUUUGACCAUCACCUGUCAGGUCUCUGGUUAUUCUCUGACUGAUAACAGCUAUGCAACCGGUUGGAUCAGACAGUGUGAAGGAAAACCAAUGGACUGGAUUUUACAUCGGCGGGGUGGAGGAGACUUUUACCAAAAUAAUGCUCUGAAGAACAAGUUCCUUUACCACACUCACACUUCUACCAGCUCGGUGACAUUAACAGGACAGAACGUGCAGCCUGAGGACACAGCUGUGUAUUACUGUGUACGUGUUGCUCCACAGUGAUACAAACCACCAACAGACCUGC